GCUUAACUUGCUUAUUACAAGACAUGACAUGUAUUAACUUCCUGCUGAACUGAAAUCUAUUUAUGGAGUUUUCAUUGUACAAAUAUUUUCAAAUUAUUAUAAAUUAAAAAAAAAUUAUAAUUUUAUUAAACAUCCAACAGCAAGUAAUACAGACAGAGAGAAUUGUGAUUGAUUUGACAAAUGACUGGUAUUUGUUUCUUCUUUAUUUCUUUGCCAGUUGCCAUCAACAGUGACAUGAAAUUUAUAUAUGCACGUAUGUGAAAUGUCUUCCGUCUGACUCAUACUCAUACGUGGCUGCUCCCUCACCGAUCAAUUCGCAUACUCAUCCUCAAUAUUCACACCCACAUUCAAAUAGAUUACCUUAUAUGUAUAUACACAAUUCUCCCUGUUCAGAUUAGAACAUAUCACUGAUCUCACUAAAGAAAUGAAAUUUACAAAUUGCUCAUCAAUAGAAAUAUUCUUAACUUCAUGGAAACACUGAUUGAGUUUUACUGUCUGAAAUAAUUCUUGUUAGCUAAGAAGUCCUUUCCCUUUUACAUGCAGGAAAGAAAAAGGUAACAUGGCCAUGAGAUGAGCUUUUUAGUGAUGUGACCACUGUGACAAAAGUAGAAUGUUAUAGGAUAACAUUGUAAUGCUUAAUAGCAGAUCCCCAUAUUGUUUAGUGCCUUUCGAAGUCACAUUCAACUAGUGAUUUUGCAAUAUCUUUUUCUACCCAGAUCCCAUUUUCCCCUUGGUGGCAAUUACCUUUUGUCUAUCUCUUCAGAUUUUUCUAUCAUCCUUUUAAGGUUUACAGUGACAAUUCCUUUUGAAUCCUAAAGAUUAGUCCUUCAAGUUUGGAAGAGGUAAAUACCUAUAUCUAUCUAUCUUCUCUUGUGCAAAAGAAUAUUAUCACUCAUCAAAGAAAGAAUGGCAAACAACUUUUCCCUGUUUGGUUCCUCUCCCACUUGUGAAGAGCAUUAUGUUAUGUACCAAUCUACCACUAUAAAAUGUCCCAUGCGUUCUAGUUGUACUUCUACAAACUUCACACCUUUUUAUUGCCUGUAGUUAGUGGAGCAUAUUUUUGCUAGUGUUACGAGGUAUAGUACAACCAUAAUAUAAAGGUCUGGGACCCUACAAAGAUUGAACCAAGCUGCAAAAUAUCACACAUCAGAAAAGUACAGCGAAAAAGUGUUCAAACAUAGACGAGGAACUGCUAAAGUCAAAGUUCCUCCUUCAGGAUCAAAAUCACAUUAGAAGAAUGUUAAACGCUUGAUAAGCACUUGCAAAUGGGACAAGUAUUUUUUGCAUAUUUAACGGAGGAAUGAUUUAUCAAAGAGCAAAUGCACUUGUAUCAGUUCAAUAUUUUCAAUUGAUUAUGAUUUUGAAUUUGAAUACCAUUGUUAUUUUUUUCUACCUCAAUCCAGUGCAGAGGGAAUUGUUAUGGUGGAGCCUGUGGUGGCUUCACAGGAUAAUAGAAGUGAGAGGUACCGGUUGUCAUGGUAGCAGGUGGAGAAAAACAUAAAUUUUGAGCUGAUUGGUUGAGAGGUUUCGAUGGAAGAAUGGCAGCAGAGGGAGGUGUAGCCGAAAAUGAGAAUCCUGAUGAUGCUGCAGUAGAGAACAUUGUCAUUGGGGUAGCAGUGACCUGACCGUGCAUUUGCCACACCCAGUUGGGGAGUCCCUGUGAAGAACCUAAUGCAAUUCUCUUAUCUGGAGCUCUUUCCUGCUGAAAAGAAUUUAUGCCUUUAGUUUUAAGGGAUACAAGAAUAGUGUUUUCACAAGAAGAAUUAUUCUUAACUAGAAAGUACAUAUGGUACAGUGCUAAGAUUAUUCUUUUUUCUUCAGUUUGAAGUUCUAUUGAACAUGAAACUCUCAUCAUUCCUUUCAAUUGCUAGAAAAAUACAACAGUUUGAAGAAAAUUUGGUGAAACAAUCACAGUAGAAACAUCAACUGAUUAUACUCCAUUAAAUGACUAGUUGUUGCUCUGUUUUUUCUUAUGAUGUUAACUUUUUUGCAUUAAAUUUAUAAAAAGGAAAACAAAUUGAGUUGUUAUAUGCAGAGUUAAAUCUUUCAUGCUUUACAGGAAAAACAGUUCAUUUAUCAUCAAGUAUGUCAUAUUCAAGUACAUGCUCAAAGAGAGAAGGACAUUAGUAAAUUCAGCUGCCAAUAGUGGAUCAAUAUGUCAAGUUAGUAAAUGUUUGGUGACCAGAGACAUGGCAACAAUGAAUACCUCAUUAGGAAAGAAACUAGGAUAGCCACUGUUCCAGAACAUUGGAUGAUCUGACGCUACUGGCCCUUUGAAAGGCAGAUCACCCACCAUUAGAGCUGACGAGUUCUCCUGCCAAAUCAGAUAACAGAGAACAUAAACCUUUGACAGCUUUAAAACCAAAAUGAACGGAAUAUGUUUCAUUAUAAACAUGAAGGAAUCUGCAAAGCUUUAUCAAAAUUUUCAACAGCCAGGCAAUGGCUUAAUAGAUAAAUGCCUACAAGAAUCAUCCCUCAAUGGUAGAAAUCUAAUAAAGGAAAGAAUGUUCCAAAACUCGAUGCACUAUAUAUGAAACAUAUUACAGAAACAAGUGAUAUUCAAAUAUUCUCAAGUCAAAUGUUACCCCUGAACUCUUGCUGUCCAUGUCAUAAGGGCCCAAGUGGAACUGCAGACACCCCUUAUUUUCCUUCGGGCCAUCGCCUAAAGAAUGGGAUAUCCCCAAGUUCAGAUCAAGAUUGUGUUCACUACCUUCGUUACUGGCUUCAGAGAUCAUUUCCCCUUCAUAUGUACUUGGCUCAAAGUUGGUCACUGCCUCCCUUCCAUUAAAUUUGAUAGCUGCCUUGUCAUAAGCCCUGGUUUCCAGAAAAUCAAAAGGGAGACAUGUUGGAUGCUGUAUUGAGGAUAAGAAUUCAGGGUAAUAAAUUGAGUAUCAUUAGGACCUUGCAGCUUCUACUUCACUGUCGAACAGCCCAAGAUAAAUAUACCUGCAUGCAAGCAUCAUAAUUUCCACAAUGAAAACACCAUUGCCAAUUAUUUCUUAUUUGAAAUGGGCAUUUUUAGUAUUGCUUUUCCAUACAAGGAAAAAACAAAAAACAACCCUUUUGAGAAUUAAUUUGAAGCCAAUUCUCAGUUUGCAAGCAGAGUAAUUUAAGUGUCAUGUAACUAAAUUUAGAACCACAUGUAACAAAUCUAAAUUCCUUAAAACGAUUUCUCACUUUUUGCCAAGGAAUUGCCCCAUUCUUGCUUCCCAUCGGCCACACUUAUGCAGUGUCACCCCUCGAUAUUUUGAACUCCCUCUUGAGAAACCAGUGCUUUGGCGACGAAGUAUGUGUACAAAUUCUUCUUUGGUCAAGUUCUUCAUCUGUUUCAGAUCAUCCUCAUAGUCAGUGAGAUUGAAAUUGAUGUCAGCAUCAACACCCCUAAAUUUGAUAGCAGCCCGAUCAUAGGCUCUUGCCGCAGCAUGAGCAGUGUCAAAUCCACCCAAAUAGACCUGUUUCCCGCAAUCCCAGAUAUGAGAUUCCCAUCGUCCAGUCCUCCUAUAGAAGGUGACUCCUCUGUAUUGCGAGCUCCUGGACCUGGGUCCCCUCCUGCUCUUCUUUACCUGCUGCGAAGGUGGCUGCACCACCCGCACCUCUCCAUCACCAAUAUCUUGCUGCCUUUCAAACGAGAGAUCGAUCCAGUUACUAGAGGAGCCUUGCCCAAAAGAAUUUCCGUAACCCCCGCCCACUCCCUUCCCAUUACUCACCGGGAAAAACUCCUUGGUCACAACGGCGACGUUUUCAUUCUCAUUUCCACCACCACCACCACCACCCACUUUCAACAUAUCGAAGUUAAAGGCGAACAUACUACUAGUAUUGUUAUUACUGCUAUUACUAGCAUCACAAGUGCAAGCGCGUGUAGAGCACGAGUCCUCGUUGCUAGAGACGUCCGCAUUGACGAUUGAUGAAUUAGACGUCCCCGAUCCUUCCGGGUACUGGUACUGAUACUUUUCCAUCAAAGCCACAGAGUCCGAGUUCUGAAUCGACUCGAACGAUUCUGCAUUCAGAUUAAGAUCCAACAUGGUAGCACUUAACAAAAGAUACACGCUACUCUUUAUCUUUUCUCACCUCACCCAAAUUCAGCUUAAAUUUUUUAAAGCUAAUUUAGCUGAAAUAGCUACAAAAACAAAAUAAUUCAGCUUCGAUGAACGUAUUUUUUCUUGCAAAAGAAGAACAAUCCAAAGCCUGAGAUCGAUCGGAACGAAAUUUCAAACAAAACAAAAGUUCAAAUCAUUGAAGGUAAACGAAUAUUAAAACGAGCUCAGAAAAAAAACAACAAAGAGCAGAAAUCUGUGUGUUUAUAUAUAAAGAAAAGCGGAGAGCAACAGCAAGAGCGAGAGAGAAAGAGGAGCUAAUUCUCUCUAUGGAACCCCCGGAGAAAAUUUCCGGUAGCCGGAGAAGAAGAAGAAUCUAAUUGAGUAAGCUUUGGAAAAGAAAACGACGGCGUUUCUGAGGGAGAGUGACAGAGGUCUAAGCUUGGUGGUGGAGUAGCAUUUCUGAAAUCAUCGGCGAGCAAGUGAUUCAACUGAAAGAGAGAUAAAGAGACGGGACGUAUGAGGGAACAUUUCAGAGGGUGAUUUUUAAGAAAGGAAAGAGAGAAGGAGAAGUAAGGGACAAAUAUAUAAACAUUUUCUCUCUCAUUUGAGCUUCAGAGACAACUAGCAUGGCCGGUCACCGGUCCAUCC
rnacentral:misc_RNA from 1 species